rnacentral:rRNA from 1 species
GAUGAACGCUGGCGGCGUGCCUAAUACAUGCAAGUCGAGCGAACAGACGAGGAGCUUGCUCCUCUGACGUUAGCGGCGGACGGGUGAGUAACACGUGGAUAACCUACCUAUAAGACUGGGAUAACUUCGGGAAACCGGAGCUAAUACCGGAUAAUAUAUUGAACCGCAUGGUUCAAUAGUGAAAGACGGUUUUGCUUUCACUUAUAGAUGGAUCCGCGCCGCAUUAGCUAGUUGGUAAGGUAACGGCUUACCAAGGCAACGAUGCGUAGCCGACCUGAGAGGGUGAUCGGACACACUGGAACUGAGACACGGUCCAGACUCCUACGGGAGGCAGCAGUAGGGAAUCUUCCGCAAUGGGCGAAAGCCUGACGGAGCAACGCCGCGUGAGUGAUGAAGGUCUUCGGAUCGUAAAACUCUGUUAUUAGGGAAGAACAAAUGUGUAAGUAACUAUGCACGUCUUGACGGUACCUAAUCAGAAAGCCACGGCUAACUACGUG